rnacentral:rRNA from 1 species
UAGGGAAUCUUCCACAAUGGGCGCAAGCCUGAUGGAGCAACACCGCGUGAGCGAAGAAGGGUUUCGGCCCGUAAAGCUCUGUUGUUAAAGAAGAACACGUAUGAGAGUAACUGUUCAUACGUUGACGGUAUUUAACCAGAAAGUCACGGCUAACUACGUGCUAG